UGAAGGCAGCUGCUUAACUGACUGAGCCACCCAGGCGUCCCCUUAUGACAGCGUUUUAAAUCCCUGCACCGGUCCUACCUCUUUAUGAGUGAUCCUGUAAAGUUAGGUGGUAUGGAGUUUCAUUCCACACUCCGCUUGUGACCUCCUAGAGAAGAGAAUGGAACUCAAGCCUCCCAUAUGCAUCAGGUCUUUAUUUCCAUUAAUGUGCCUUAGAGUCUGCACCUAACGAAAUGUCGAUGAUCUAGAGCUACUGGCCAAGGUGUUUGGGGAGCACGGCUUGAGCCAUGGCCCCACGUGAAUCAUCAGCAUCUGCAAACGUGAUGAGCGCCACCUCAGUGCCUGCACCUGAGUCUCUCCCAGAGGGGAGGGCAGGCUCUGUGGCAGACGUGCUCGGCGUCUUACCGUGAGCCCCCCUGUCCUGCCGGCCUCCUCUGGCAGCCAGGGGUCGGACCUGGGAGGAGGUGCCAUACUGGCCACACCGCCCAUCAGCGUGUGUCUGACAGACCGGGGGCCCCCUCUGGAGCAGGCACUGUGCUUCCCGUGACCCUCACCCCCUGCUCCCGGCACCAGGCCUAGCCUGGAGCAUGCCCGGGGAGGGGGGUGGUGCUGGCUGGCUCCCCAGUCCCAGGACAGGUUCCCAGCCACAGCGAGAGGCCAGGGGCCAGACUGCGGGAUGCACCCUUCGAGGUUUGCCAGCUCUGCUCUGGGCUGAGGAGCGUGGGGGUGGAGCUUCCCCCCGGACCUCACCCCACCAGCCCUUACGACCUUGGCCCAAACCGCGGCCCUUCUUGCUCCCUCUGCUCUGGGCCUACAGGCCCUCUUGCCCACCCGCUUCCUCUUCCAGGAACGCCGCCUUCCCCCUUCCCUUCCUCCCUCCUCCUCUGCCCCUCGCAGCCUCCUCCUUCCCUCCACCCGGCCGGCCGCAGGACAGGCUCCUUUGUCCCUUAAGAGGGAAGCUCACCUGUUGAGAGAGGUCUUCCCUGACCUCUUCUGCUGUCACUCUGUCCCCACACCCCCUUUAUUGUCUGCGUCUUUUCCUUUCCUUAAAAUGACCCUAUUAUUUUUAUUACGUUCUGGCUCCCACCACACCCUGAAUUCCCUGACUUAUCUCUGCCACCUAGCACAGACCGUAACUGUUGACGGAAUCAGGGUUGAUGGGCUUUCUCUGCUGCAGAUGGCAGACCUGCACGCGGUCCCGAGGGGCCUGUACGACGGGCCGGUGUUUGACCUGACCACCACACCCAAAGGGGGCACCCCCGCGGGCUCCACCCGGGGCUCCCCCACACGGCCCAACCCGCCCGUGAGGAACCUCCAUCAGUCGGGAUUCAGCCUGUCCGGCACCCAAGUGGAUGAGGGGGUCCGCUCGGCCAGCAAGCGCAUCGUGGCACCCCCCGGAGGCCGUUCUAACAUCACGUCCCUGAGUUAAGCGACCCCUCCCCAAAGAGAGGGGCAGAAGCAAGAAGAGAUUUUUUUGAAGCCAAAAUGGUACACCAAUAUUUAAGAAGGAAAGCGAAUCCAAACAGUUGCGAUCUAAAGAAUCAAUAAGCCUCAAGCCUUAUGUUUCUCCAAUGCUACACUCGCUUGCCUAGCUUUACGAAUAUUGCUUUGUUUUCUGUUCAUGCAUAGCCUUGAUUGGUUUGACCCUGCCUCCCCGCAUUUACGUGCAUGCAAUCAGACAGGCUACUAAGGUAAAAGUCUGCUAUAUAGUGUUGAGAGCGUGUGUAGUGCUGCAUUUUAUGACAAGGGGACAGACAAAGCUGGGAUGCCAGGAAAAUCAACAAAAGGGACGCAGUUAUUUGGGGUGAGGGGGUGGUGGGAGCCCAGAGCGAGGCAGAAGGCUCAGAGGGGCUGGGGUAGGGCGUGGACGGGGAGGCGGGUGGGUGGGUGAGCAUAAGGGGGCUUGUGUAUUGUGUUGACGAAGCACGUUUGUUUCCACGGAAGAUGGCUACUUGGGGCAGCCUGUCCCUUCAUCACGGUCCCCAGGGGUCUGUGGAGAAGGCAGGCAGUCUUCAGGUUCCAGACGUAGUCACAUCCCCUCCUAGAUUUUAUUCCUUUGAACAUUUUAUUAAAACACCAAAACCCAACCAUUAUUUUCACCUGCUUGAUCGUGCCAGUGUUUGGUGGGGCCUCUUUCUCAGUGUUGCUUUCAAAUUCUCCUCUUUCCUGGGCCGGGAAGGAAGAGAGGAGAGAGGAAAGCCCUCUUCUCUGUCUUGCCUGCCUCUUUGGUGCUCUUUAACAACAGGCCCUCGGGGUGGGGGCAGCCAUGCUCACACACCUUCCUCAAAGCACACGUUGGAGAUCCCCUCGCAUUCGCGUGGCUUCGCGAACUGGGAAGAGCAGCGUGUGUUCGUCAUCCCAAGUUAGGACGAGACUCAGUGGGGCCCCGGGAAGGGCUUCUCUUGCUGCCGGUCAGUAGCCGAUUCUUUCCGUCUCAAGAUCCAGGCACAUUCGUGAUUGAAGAGGAUUUUUAGUGCUUAGGUGUUCUCUAAGUUUUGCUCCGAACAGGUGAUCUCAGUUGAGACGGGAGCCAAGCAAAGAUAUGGGAAAGCUAGUCUGUGGAGCUGAGGGAGCACAUUCUGCGGCCGUGGGUCUGCUUUGCAGCCCUGAACCCUCUGUCGCCUCUUCUUUGAGCACAUCCUCUGGGGGAGCUUUUUGUUUCCUUAUAAAGCCUCUCAAGGUGAGUGGAAGUGACAUGCAGCCUUGUGUGAUGUGGCCCAGAACAGACGUGGAGCUCAAUGUCCAUUUCCCCGCCCUGCCACUUGUGAAAAUUCAAUGUUGGAGCAAGUUCUCUGAGCCAGAUGAGGAUCUGUAGAACUAAGGUCCAGAGGCAGAAAAAGUACAUUCACCCUGGGAUCAGAUGUCUGUGCUUGGGGGAUGCGGCCCGUAGGACCCUAACCGUGUGUACUAGGUACUCGGAAGAAAGAGAGCAGGCCUCAAACACCUUUCAGGUGCUCAGGAGAAGCUGUUCUCUCUGACAGCUGAAGACCAGAGAAAAGGGAACAACAACACAUGGCUAAAAAGGAAUUUGGAAAUAGCCAAGGAAGAGGACUCCCCCUAGCCAUCUAAUUACUGUUCUAUUCAUGAAAAUGAUCAUUUCUCCUCAUAAUAAGGAAUCUUGCUAUUUGAAGGCUUUUUCAUGGUGCCUUUAUUGUAAAGGAAACUUAACGGGAGCAUGUAGCUCUUGAUUUAUAACUCAAAACACCUGAGGGCCUGUCGCAGAACUCAGAAUGACAGUUUUGCGGACAGAGGGAGAUUGCCAGAUCUGAAGCGUCUAAGUUACAUAUAUACCUCAUUGGCUGGGCUGUUCUGUAGGAUGUGUUGCAGUACCAGCCACAACCACCAGGUGGAGGAAAAGACAAAAAACCAGUGGGCGCGUCCUCUUGUGUACCGUCUGCUCUUGAUUCCUAGCCAGAGCCCAGCUCCUCCCUCCAUGACCUCUCUAGGCCAUGACAAUAAAUCCUUCAUGGCCACAUUGGUCGUCUGCACUGCACUGGGACUGCUGAAUGAAGCAUUCAACCAGCACUUCAUAUCCUACACAAGCUUUCCAUGCUGUAGGAAUAACGCUAAUGCCUUCACCAUGGGCAACGUGAUCUGGGAAAGCCUCCCUUUCUUCACUUACUAUAAGUAACUUCCCAAGCACAGAGAUUCCUAAGAAUUGCAGGAAAACUCCCUCUCUUUCCUUGACUUUGGUUUCUCGUACCUUGUUACUUGAGUUAAAAUUUAUAUUCAAAUGUGUCCUCUUCCAUAAGGCACAUCAAAGAGCCCUCCCUAUACACAGGGCUUAGGAAGAGAACAUGAUGCAAGUCACAGCUCUCUCAGAAUUCACAGCAUCUCAUCCACAUGUGGGAGGGCUUGCUGGACCUUCGUCUCCUGCCCAAGCUUUCUUUUGCCCUCUCGUCUCUUGGCCUGGCCCCUCUCUAAGGAUGCCCUGGCUUCCCUGCAACAGUCUCACAUUAUUCCUUAUCCAGAUGGCAGUCAACUGGGGUUCUCUCUGGGAGGGCCAUAAUCUUGGGUAGUUGAGAAGGUAUUUGUGGAAUUGUUAGAUCAGCCAAUCCCGUAGAGGUGUUUCUUCUAUUUCUGUUUUCUAAAACUGGCAGUUGUAGUCAUCCCGAAAAUGGGUUUUCUUCAAAGACCAGUCACCCUUUGGCCUUUUUCCUCAUGCCUACACCCAGAGAGUCAUGCUCUGCUGCAAAGGCCUUAAUCCUAAGCCUGGACUUGCACUCACCCUGAGAGGCCCUUCCCCACAGGGUGGAUGAGCCCCCCCCCCCCACCAAACUUGGUUCUAGCCACAAGCUUCCCAGGCCUACCCCCUGGAAAACUCCAGCUUGAGUCCCAGAUAUACCCAUGGGCUGUCCCGGGCAGCCAGCAUUCAUUGUACAAGUUCCCUCUUUGGAAAAUGGUGUGUGGGUGUUCAGUUCUGUGUCUGGUGAAUAUGAACAGACCGUAAAUCUCCCUGUGAUCUGUGGUAGCUGUAAGGCAGCUCGGAACGUGAAGAGCUGUUUGGUUUGAACCGUGAAGAAAACUGUGUUUUGAGUUUAGCUGAGAUUAAAGAAAAGUUCAUCAAGUGACUGUUAAUGUACACCUGGUUAUUAAAAUAACUAUGAAAUUA